rnacentral:rRNA from 1 species
UACGGGGGGUGCAAGCGUUAUUCGGAAUCAUUGGGCGUAAAGGGCGCGUAGGCGGUCUUUUAAGUCAGAUGUGAAAGCCCUCGGCUUAACCGAGGAAGUGCAUUUGAUACUAAAAGACUUGAGUAUGGGAGAGGGAAGCGGAAUUCCUGGUGUAGCGGUGAAAUGCGUAGAUAUCAGGAGGAACACCGGUGGCGAAGGCGGCUUCCUGGACCAAUACUGACGCUGAGGCGCGACGGCGUGGGGAGCAAACAGG